UACGGAGGGGCGAGCGUUAUUCGGAAUUAUUGGGCGUAAAGGGCGCGUAGGCGGCCCGGUAAGUCAAAGGUGAAAUCCCUCGGCUCAACUGAGGAACUGCCUUUGAAACUGUCGGGCUUGAGGCCGGGAGGGGGUAGCGGAAUUCCCAGUGUAGCGGUGAAAUGCGUAGAUAUUGGGAGGAACACCAGUGGCGAAGGCGGCUACCUGGACCGGUUCUGACGCUGAUGCGCGAAAGCGUGGGUAGCAAACGAGG
rnacentral:rRNA from 1 species